AAGUAAACCUAAUGAGUCGUGGCCACACAGCACAGCUACCCUACCGACAGCCAGCCGCCUAGCCACACGCACACCCCGCCGUCCCGUGCUCCCGGCCGCCACCGCACACACGCACAGGCCACAGGCGCACCGCGCAGCGCGCACAGCACAGCAGCCGAGCAGCGCUUGGACGAGCACGAACGCCGGUCACCGGCUCACCGCUGGCACUGGGGCCGUCAUGAUUCUGCACUUCUGCUUCUUGGUCUCUUGGAUCUUGGUAGUGCAGCGGCCGGCCAGGGGAUCUUUCGGGCAUGAGGAUGGACUUUGCUGAUUUGAGAUGAAGGCCUGAUUUCACGAGGAAGAUUUACGUUGUUGUUGCCCUCACGGUCAUGUGCAUAAUCAUGCAGUUCAGCAUACAAGGGCAAAAGAACCUUAUGGGGCCGCACUUCAGUAUUUGAAAAUGUUUUGUAUAGUUCUAUAAAUUAGUAUCGGUAGCAUAGUCUUACAAUUUUAUGCAAACCAGUAAUUAGUUUCGCAGGCAGUCUGUAACAAUUAUCAAAAGAUCACCUUUGCAAUUAGAGGCAUUUGAGAAGUGUGCUAAAGAAUGUGAAUAUGUAUUGCUUAA